rnacentral:rRNA from 1 species
UACGAAGGGGGCUAGCGUUACUCGGAUUGACUGGGCGUAAAGGGCGCGUAGGCGGCUUGUACAGUCAGACGUGAAAUUCCUGGGCUCAACCUGGGGGCUGCGUUUGAUACGUGCGGGCUUGAGUUCGGAAGAGGGUCGUGGAAUUCCCAGUGUAGAGGUGAAAUUCGUAGAUAUUAGGAAGAACACCGGUGGCGAAGGCGGCGACCUGGUCCGAUACUGACGCUGAGGCGCGAAAGCGUGGGGAGCAAACAGG